rnacentral:rRNA from 1 species
CCCUUCGGGGCUUUUUGGGGAUUCAUGAUAACUUUACGGAUCGCAUAGCCUUGCGNCUGGCGACNGGUUCAUUCAAANNNUUUCUGNCCCUAUCAACNUUUCGAUGGUAAGGUAUUNGGCUUANCCAUGGUUUCAACGGGUAACGGGGNAAUUAGGGUUCGAUUCCGGAGAGGGAGCCUGAGNAAACGGCUACCACAUCCAAGGAAGGCAGCAGGCGCGCNAAAUUACCCAAUCCCGACACGGGGAGGUAGUGACAAUAAAUACUGAUACAGGGCUCUUUUGGGUCUUGUAAUUGGAAUGAGUACAAUUUAAACCUCUUAACGAGGAACAAUUGGAGGGCAAGUCUGGUGCCAGCAGCCGCGGUAAUUCCAGCUCCAAUAGCGUAUAUUAAAGUUGUUGCAGUUAAAAAGCUCGUAGUUGAAACUUGGGCCUGGCUGGCGGGUCCGCCUCACCGCGUGCACUCGUCCGGCCGGGCCNUUCCUUCUGAAGAACCUCAUGCCCUUCACUGGGCGUGCUNGGGGAAUCAGGACUUUUACUUUGAAAAAAUUAGAGUGUUCAAAGCAGGCCUUUGCUCGAAUACGUUAGCAUGGAAUAAUAAAAUAGGGCGUGCGUUUCUAUUUUGUUGGUUUCUAGAGACGCCGCAAUGAUUAACAGGAACAGUCGGGGGCAUCAGUAUUCAGUUGUCAGAGGUGAAAUUCUUGGAUUUACUGAAGACUAACUACUGCGAAAGCAUUUGCCAAGGAUGUUUUCAUUAAUCAGUGAACGAAAGUUAGGGGAUCGAAGACGAUCAGAUACCGUCGUAGUCUUAACCGUAAACUAUGCCGACUAGGGAUCGGGCGAUGUUCUUUUUCUGACUCGCUCGGCACCUUACGAGAAAUCAAAG